rnacentral:rRNA from 1 species
AUUGAACGCUGGCGGCAGGCCUAACACAUGCAAGUCGAACGAGUGGCGGACGGGUGAGUAAUGUCUGGGAAACUGCCUGAUGGAGGGGGAUAACUACUGGAAACGGUAGCUAAUACCGCAUACCAUCAGAUGUGCCCAGAUGGGCUUAGCUUGUUGGUGGGGUAACGGCUCACCAAGGCGACGAUCCCUUGCUGGUCUGAGAGGAUGACCAGCCACACUGGAACUGAGAAACGGGCCAGAGUCCUACGGGAGGCAGAAGUGGGGAAUAUUGCACAAUGGGCGAAAGACUGAUGCAGCCAUGCCGCGUGUAUGAAGAAGGCCUUAGGGUUGUAAAGGACUUUCAGCGGGGAGGCGGUACCCGAAGAAGAAGCACCGGCUAACUCCGUGCCAGUAGCCGCGGUAAUAG